UACGUAGGGACCAAGCGUUGUUCGGAUUUACUGGGCGUAAAGGGCGCGUAGGCGGCAAUUCAAGUCAGCUGUGAAAUCUCCGAGCUUAACUCGGAACGGUCAGCUGAUACUGUUUUGCUAGAGUGCAGAAAGGGCAACCGGAAUUCUUGGUGUAGCGGUGAAAUGCGUAGAUAUCAAGAGGAACGCCUGAGGCGAAGGCGGGUUGCUAGGCUGACACUGACGCUGAGGCGCGAAAGCUAGGGUAGCAAACGGG
rnacentral:rRNA from 1 species